rnacentral:lncRNA from 1 species
CAAAGUCUGAACAACACUGCUGUGAAGCCCCCAUCUUAAGGGGCAUGUGGAUUUAGUCCUGAGAUACAGGCAGCCAGAAGUCUGAGUGCCCUGACAGUCCCCACAGAUGGUGCCCAUCAAUUUCUCCCCUCACCACAUGUGCAAGUCACACCACUCAGCCAGGGGUAGAGUCUGUUUCCCCUCCCCUUGAGUCUGGGCUGGCCCUGUGACUUGCCUUGACCAACAGAAAGCACUAGAAAUGACACUCUGCCAGUUCUGGGCCUGGACCUCAAGAAACCUGGUAGCUUCAGUUUUCAAUCUUGGAAGUCAGUCACCAUGCUAUGAGGAAGUCCAACUAUCCUGCCAGAGAGAGUCCUGGGGGAUAAGACAGCACAUGGAGAGAGAAAGAGGCCACACAGAGGUGCACUGAGGCCCCAGACAUGUGAGCAAAGUCUUCUGGGAGUUUCCAGGGCAGCCCAGUCACCAGCUGAUUGUAUCCAAGUGUUUCACUCCAACCAAUACCCCGUGGACCGCCCAGCCUAGCCCUGCCCAAAUUUCUGACCCAGAGAAUCUUAAGAAAAAACAGUUGGUUUAAGCCACUGGAGCUUUGGGGUGGUUUAUUAUGCAUCGGUAGAUAGCUGAAACAAUAUAUAUUACUAAAUAUGUAGGUACCCUUAUAAAAUAUGUGAUGGGGUUUGCAUGUCUAUCUGUUCUGUAUUUACAUACACAGAACUUUCAUAUAUCUCAUUUGUUUCUGA